rnacentral:rRNA from 1 species
CCCUUAGAUGUCCGGGGCCGCACGCGCGCUACACUGAAGGAAUCAGCGUGGCUUUCUCCCUGACCCGAAAGGGUUGGGAAACCCGUUGAAUCUCCUUCGUGAUAGGGAUUGGGGCUUGAAAUUGUUCCCCAUGAACGAGGAAUUCCCAGUAAGCGCGAGUCAUAAGCUCGCGUUGAUUACGUCCCUGCCCUUUGUACACACCGCCCGUCGCUACUACCGAUUGAACGGUUUAGUGAGAUCCUUGGAUCGGCCCUGUCGCGGCUGGCAACGGCCGCGUCGGCGCGUCGAGAAGACGAUCAAACUUGAUCAUUUAGAGGAAGUAAAAGUCGUAACA